GACUACAGGGCCCAAUGGAUAAGGUGCUGGUUUAUGAAACCAGGUACUCUGGGUUCGAUCCACAGUGGAUUCG
rfam:Ipomoea nil DNA, scaffold: scaffold0415, cultivar: Tokyo-kokei standard.